CUGACUGUAGGCACAUGCAUUCUUCCUGUGGUCCUUCCACUGUCAGAAUCUCCUAUACCGAAAACGACGAUCCAAUUAAAUCUAUGAAUGUUGUUGUGGGGAGAGCAUUCUGAGUUGCUGGAGACACUGUUAUCGUAUUUGUGUCAGAUUUGGCUGUUAUGAAACAAAUCAGUAUGCAAAACUUUCUUCAGCUAUUUCUGAGUGCCUUUUCUUCUUUGCUGGAUGAGAUGGACAGGUCUUCAAGCAGAGAUGUCUUACUUAAAGAAUCAAUUUGAGAAGAUUAGAGAACUGUAAGGCGUAACAUCAUGAAACAAAACCAAAACAAUGUCAAAACCUUGUGAAAAUGAUGGAGUCCCAUCCAUCACUUCAGGAGAGAAGCUGGGAGCAAAGUUAAAGCCUUCAGAGCACUGGAACAGCUGUUAAGUACAUGCGUGUGAUUUGUGUGCUGUGGAGCUUUAUCAUCCAUCUGAAGACAAGUUCUAACAUAACUCUUUUCUCAGCUUCCUUAUACUUUUAGAAUCAAGAUUCUCUGAAUUUUAUAAAGUAAUUUUGCUGAUUGCAUGUAUGCAGUAAAUGUUCCAUCUUGUCACUUCUAAUUAGCAAGAUAUAUUUCUUGUAACGCUUCAUUUCAUUGCAAUCAUUUUU
rnacentral:lncRNA from 1 species